UACAGAGGGUGCGAGCGUUGUCCGGAAUCACUGGGCGUAAAGGGCGCGUAGGCGGCUCGGUCAGCGUGCGGUGAAAGCCCGGGGCUCAACCCCGGGUCGGCCGUGCGAACUGCUGGGCUGGAGCACUGUAGAGGCAGGCGGAAUUCCGGGUGUAGCGGUGGAAUGCGUAGAGAUCCGGAAGAACACCGGUGGCGAAGGCGGCCUGCUGGGCAGUAGCUGACGCUGAUGCGCGACAGCGUGGGGAGCAAACAGG
rnacentral:rRNA from 1 species